rnacentral:rRNA from 1 species
UACGUAGGUGGCGAGCGUUGUCCGGAAUUACUGGGUGUAAAGCGCGUGUAGGCGGGAGGCCAAGUCUGCGGUGAAAUCGCUCGGCUCAACUGGGCGGGGUCCGUGGAAACUGGUCACCUGGAGGACGGUAGAGGCGAGUGGAAUUCCCGGUGUAGUGGUGAAAUGCGUAGAUAUCGGGAGGAACACCAGUGGCGAAGGCGACUUCCUGGCCUGUUCUUGACGCUGAGGCGCGAAAGCUAGGGGAGCAAACGGG